AAAAGAGGCUAUCACCCCCCCUUAUAGCCUCGGAUCACGAUCCAACAAGUGGUAUCAGAGCCAAGUUCCGUUGAAGUCAGACUAACAUCUUACAACAACAACUAUGGCUUCAAAUGGUGAAAACAGUACGGGUCUUGCAUCGAACAAACCUCCCAGGUUCGAUGGAGUAAAGUAUGACUUCUGGAAGAACAAGAUGAAGUUAUACUUGAAGUCAAUCAACAAUGGAGUCUGGAAAAUCGUAUUAGAGGAUUAUGAAAUUCCAACAAGCAAUGAAGAGACUUGGGGAGAAAUGGAUAUUCUCAAGGAAAACAACAACUCAAGAGCGUUGAAUGCACUAUAUGGCGCUCUUAAUGAAUCUGAGUACAGCAGAAUUCGAUGCUUGGAUACAGCUUACAAGGUAUGGAAAGCUUUGGAGGAUUUACAUGAAGGAACCUCCCACGUCAAAGAAAAUAAACUACUACAUGCCACUUCUCAGUUCGAAAGAUUCUCUAUGAGGGAAGAUGAGACUAUCGCAGAAAUGAACAUUCGACUAUCACAAAUAGUCAAUGAUCUGGCUGGAUUAGGGGAUCCAGUAUCUGAGAAGAAGCAAGUAAGCAAAAUUCUGAGGAGCCUCCCAGACAAGUACUACUCCAAAAGGAAUGCUAUCCAAGAGGCUCAUGAUCUCAACAAACUUACAGUUGUGGAACUCUGUGGAAAUCUGAUGGCCUAUGAAGAAGAAAGAUUCCUCUCUAGAGCUAAAGAAGAGAAAAAGGAUAUCGCUUUUAAAAGUCAAUCUGACAAUGAAACAUCAGAAGAUGAUCUAGCAAUGAUCACCAAUCAUAUGAGAAGAUAUCUGAAAAAGAGGAAAGAGAAGAAAAACUCAAGGUCAAGCCAUCAGAAGAUCAACAGAAGAAUAAGCAAGGAGUCAAAAGAACCAAUCUGUUAUCUAUGCAACAGGUCUGGACACAUCAAACCAGAAUGUCCUCUGCUAAAGAAAGAAAGGGCAAAUCAGGCACAAUGGACAGACUCCGACUCAGAUCAAGAAGACUGCCUCAUGGCUCAUGAGAACGACUCUGAGGUAAACUUUACAAAUACUAGAUUUAAUUCAUUAGAAGAAGCAUUUCUAGAAUUAAUGGAUAAAUAUAAAGCUGAGAAAAAAUUAAGUAAAUCAUUAAGGCUAGAAUGCAUGAAUAAAUCACAUAUAGAUCAAUCUACUGAAUUAGAAGAAUCACAAAAAGAAUGCAUGCAAUUGAAAGAAAGAAAUCUAAAACUCACAAGUAAAUUAAACAAAGAUAAAGAAAAAAUCAAGAUACUUAAGAGUCAAAACUUUGAAUUACUUAACAUUUUAGAAUCUGAAGAAAAUCAAUCUAAGGAAAUAGAUGAUGAUAAGAUUGAAUUGCUAGAAUUAAAAAUAGAUAAUUUUGAAGAAGACAUUAUGUUAAAAGAAAAAGAAAUAAUCAUGCUCAAAACAGAAAUAGAAUCUAAGGACAAAAUCAUACUUGAGCAUGUAGAAAACAUACAAAAAUUAUCUGAAAAAUGUAAUGAUAUGCAAUUACAAAUCAAAAGAAUAGGUCAGAAGAAUAAUAUUCUUGAGAAAUUCUUCAGUAGUUCAUCAAAGUUAGAUAAUAUGUUGCAAGGCUCGAACUUGGGUCAAAAGAAAUUUGGCUUAGGGUUUGAGUCAAAUGCACCGAUUAACAGAACCCUAAAUGACACAACGUAUAAUAAUCAUUUUGAAAGGAAUCAAGUUAUACAAAACCUUUGCAUGCUUUAAUACAUAAUAAUCAUUCUAGCAAUACAAAGUUCAUUCAUCUUAAGAAAAAGAAAAAUCAUUCUAAGGUGAAUCAUCCAAAGCAACGAUGGAUGACUAAAGAUGAAUUACGAAACUAUAAGCAGAUUAAAUAUGUUAAUUCAUCAGGACCCAACUCAGUAUGGGUACCAAAAGACUAUUCAACUCUUUCAGGAAAAACAUGUGUCAAAAUGGCUGUUCGACAGUGGAUGCACAAGGCACAUGACUGGAGAUUCAAGUCUGCUGACAGACCUGACCGACUGGCCUACUACCAAGAAGGCCAAGUUCGCCGAUAACAACGAAGGUACCAUUGUAGGUAGGGGUAAUAUAGGUAAUAUAGAUAAACCAUUUCUUAGAGAUGUUUACUUAGUUAAUGGCCUUAAACAUAAUCUUAUCAGCAUAAGUCAAUUAUGUGAUAAUGAUUGCACAGUUAAAUUUGAAAAACAUCUAUGCUCAAUCAUUAACUCCAAGGGAGUUAUAAUUGCUAAAGGAUAUAGGAAAAACAAUGCUUAUUCCAUAACCUUUAAUCCCUCCAAGUCAACUCAUGACUUCUGCAUGAUUGCAGCAAGUGAUGAAAAGACUUUAUGGCAUAGAAGGUUAGGUCACACCAGUUAUUCUCGAUUAUCCAAACUAUCAAAAGAAGAACUGGUAACUGGACUGCCUAAAAUAGCAUAUGAGAAAAGUAAUCUCUGUGAUGCUUGUCAAAAAGGGAAACAGCAUAAAGCUCAUUCAAAUCCCUUACAGAUAUUACUACGUCCAGACCUUUGGAACUUCUACACAUGGACUUAUUUGGGCCAACCCAAACCCAAAGUCUUGGUGGUAAAAGGUUUACGUAUGUAAUAGUAGAUGACUACUCAAGAUUUACUUGGGUUUUCUUCUUACGAAAUAAAAGUGACUCAUUCAACGAGUUCUCAUCAUUUUGUACACGUGUUCAAAAUGAGAAGGAUGUCCUCAUAAAAAGAAUCAGAAGUGAUCAUGGAGGAGAAUUCGAGAACUCUGAAUUUGAAGAAUUUUGCAAAACUCAUGGAAUAAAACAUGAAUUUGCUUUUCCCCAAGCACCCCCUCAGAAUGGAGUUGUUGAAAGGAAAAACAGAACUCUACAAGAAAUGAGUAGAUCCAUGUUACAAGAACAUGAUUCACCACAGUAUCUUUGGGCAGAAGCUGUUAACACAGCCUGUUAUAUAUUAAACAAGGUGAUUAUUAGAAAAACCUUGAACAAAACUCCAUAUGAGAUCUGGAAUGGAAGAAAGCCAAAAGUCUCAUAUUUCAAGGUCUUUGGAUGCAAAUGUUAUGUUCUCCGAACAAGAGGCAACCAAGAUAAAUUUGCUCAGAAAUCUGAUGAAGGUAUCCUGGUAGGAUACUCUAGAAGGAGCAAAGCUUACAAAAUUCUUCUCAAAGAAAAACAAAUAAUGAUCGAAUCAUUACACGUUGACUUUGAUGAAUCCACUCAGACAACCAUUGUAGAAGAAGAUGAAAUCCACUCAGACAACCAUUGUAGAAGAAGAUGAAAUAGUUCCAGAAGAAAUCAUCAUUCCAACUGAAGAAACUACCAAUGACGAAAUCGAAGUCUUUGAGCCUCAAUCCAACAGGCUGCUCAGGAAUCCACAUUCCACUGAUCAAAUCAUUGGUGACCAUCAAGCUGGCGUUAAAACCAGAUCAUCCAUUCAAGGAAACAGUGUUCUUGACUGUUUUGUCUCUCAAAUUGAGCCUAAGAAAGUUGAUGAAGCCCUCGACGACGACUACUGGAUUCAAGCUAUGCAAGAAGAACUUAACCAAUUUGAGAGAAAUGAUGUAUGGGAACUAGUUCCAAAACCAAAAGAUACAUCAAUCAUUGGGACAAGAUGGGUAUUCAGAAAUAAGCUGGAUGAAGAUGGAACUAUAAUAAGAAACAAAGCUAGACUGGUUGCGCAAGGAUACAAUCAACAAGAAGGAAUUGAUUAUGAUGAAACCUUUGCACCAGUAGCUAGACUAGAGUCUAUCAGAAUGCUCCUAUCCUUUGCAUGUUAUAAAGAUUUCAAAUUAUAUCAAAUGGAUGUAAAGAGUGCAUUCUUGAAUGGAAUAGUCAAUGAACAAGUAUAUGUUAAACAACCCCCUGGUUUCGAAGAUUACAAAAACCCUGAUCAUGUCCUUAAACUUAAGAAAGCCCUCUAUGGUCUGAAACAAGCACCCCGAGCUUGGUAUGAAAGACUAAGAAACUUUCUCACUUCUCAGGAAUUUAGAAUGGGGAGUAUAGAUAAUACAUUGUUCAUUAAAAAUGUCAAAAGUGACAUUAUUCUAAUUCAAAUCUAUGUUGAUGACAUUAUAUUUGGAUCAACAGAUGAUACUCUAUGUAAGAAAUUUUCCAAACAAAUGGAAGACGAAUUUGAAAUGAGUAUGAUGGGAGAGUUGACUUUUUUCUUAGGUCUACAAGUCAAACAGAAGGAGAAUGGAAUAUUCCUAAGUCAAGUCAAAUAUGCUAAGGAAUUAAUAAAGAAAUUUGACUUGACUGAAUCUAAAUCUAUGCCAACUCCGAUGAGUUCAACUCUUAAAUUGGACAAAGAUGUUGAAGGUCAAUCAGUAGACAUUAAGAAAUACAGAGGAAUGAUUGGAUCACUGCUAUACCUAACAGCCAGUAGACCAGACAUCAUGUUUGCAGUCUGCUUAUGUGCCAGAUUCCAAUCAGACCCAAAAGAGUCACAUCUCAAAGCGGUUAAAAGAAUAAUCAGGUAUAUCAAAGGAACAAUUACACUUGGAUUAUUCUACCCUAAGGACAACUCAUUCACACUGACAGCAUACUGUGAUGCUGACUUUGGUGGAUGCAAGACUGACAGAAAAAGCACUAGUGGAACAUGCUUUCUGUUGGGAAGCUCACUCGUAGCAUGGUCAUGUAAAAAGCAAAAUAGUAUUGCUUUAUCCACAACUGAAGCAGAAUAUAUGGCAGCAUCUAAUGCAUGCACUCAAAUUUUGUGGAUGAAACAAACAUUAUCCGACUACGAUAUAGCUUUAGAAACAGUAGCUCUUAAAUGUGACAACAAGAGUACA
rnacentral:lncRNA from 1 species